GGGGAAUCUUCCGCAAUGGGCGAAAGCCUGACGGAGCAAUACCGCGUGAGGGAGGAAGGCCUUCGGGUUGUAAACCUCUUUUUUCAGGGAAGAAAAAAAUGACGUUACCUGAGGAAUAAGCCUCGGCUUACCCCGUGCCAGCAGCCCCGCUAAUUCGGUGCAUGCAAGCGUUAUCCGGAAUGAUUGGGCGUAAAGGGUCCGCAGGUUGCAUUGUAAGUCUGUCGUUAAAGAGCUUGGCUCAACCAUAUAAAAUUAGUGGAAACAACUUAGUUCGGUUUUCGUCGGGGCUGAGGGUUUUCC
rnacentral:rRNA from 1 species